GACGAACGCUGGCGGCGUGCCUAAUACAUGCAAGUCGAGCGAAGUUUUUCUGGUGCUUGCACUAGAAAAACUUAGCGGCGAACGGGUGAGUAACACGUAAAGAACCUGCCUCAUAGACUGGGACAACUAUUGGAAACGAUAGCUAAUACCGGAUAACAGCAUUAACUGCAUGGUUGAUGUUUGAAAGUUGGUUUUGCUAACACUAUGAGAUGGCUUUGCGGUGCAUUAGCUAGUUGGUGGGGUAAAGGCCUACCAAGGCGACGAUGCAUAGCCGACCUGAGAGGGUGAUCGGCCACACUGGGACUGAGACACGGCCCAGACUCCUACGGGAGGCAGCAGUAGGGAAUCUUCCGCAAUGGGCGAAAGCCUGACGGAGCAACGCCGCGUGAGUGAAGAAGAAUUUCGAGUUCGUAAAGC
rnacentral:rRNA from 1 species